rnacentral:rRNA from 1 species
UGGGGAAUUUUGGACAAUGGGCGAAAGCCUGAUCCAGCAAUGCCGCGUGUGUGAAGAAGGCCUUCGGGUUGUAAAGCACCUUUGUCCGGAAAGAAAUCCUUGGCUCUAAUACAGUCGGGGGAUGACGGUAUCGGAAGAAUAAGCACCGGCUAACUACGUGCCAGCAGCCGCGGUAAUACGUAGGGUGCAAGCGUUAAUCGGAAUUACUGGGCGUAAAGCGUGCGCAGGCGGUUUGCUAAGACCGAUGUGAAAUCCCCGGGCUCAACCUGGGAACUGCAUUGGUGACUGGCAGGCUAGAGUAUGGCAGAGGGGGGUAGAAUUCCACGUGUAGCAGUGAAAUGCGUAGAGAUGUGGAGGAAUACCGAUGGCGAAGGCAGCCCCCUGGGCCAAUACUGACGCUCAUGCACGAAAGCGUGGGGAGCAAACAGGAUUAGAUACCCUGGUAGUCCACGCCCUAAACGAUGUCAACUAGUUGUUGGGGAUUCAUUUCCUUAGUAACGUAGCUAACGCGUGAAGUUGACCGCCUGGGGAGUACGGUCGCAAGAUUAAAAGCUC